rnacentral:rRNA from 1 species
GACAGAGGAUGCAAGCGUUAUCCGGAUUCACUGGGUUUAAAGGGUGCGUAGGUGGAAUGGUAAGUCAGUGGUGAAAUCUCCAAGCUUAACUUGGAAACUGCCGUUGAUACUAUCAUUCUUGAAUAUCGUGGAGGUAAGCGGAAUAUGUCAUGUAGCGGUGAAAUGCUUAGAUAUGACAUAGAACACCAAUUGCGAAGGCAGCUCACUACACAAUCAUUGACGCUGAGGCACGAAAGCGUGGGGAUCAAACAGG